rnacentral:rRNA from 1 species
GUGUGGAAUUUUGGACAAUGGGCGAAAGCCUGAUCCAGCCAUGCCGCGUGCAGGAUGAAGGCCUUCGGGUUGUAAACUGCUUUUGUACGGAACGAAAAGACUCUGGUUAAUACCUGGGGUCCAUGACGGUACCGUAAGAAUAAGCACCGGCUAACUACGUGCCAGCAGCCGCGGUAAUACGUAGGGUGCAAGCGUUAAUCGGAAUUACUGGGCGUAAAGCGUGCGCAGGCGGUUAUAUAAGACAGAUGUGAAAUCCCCGGGCUCAACCUGGGAACUGCAUUUGUGACUGUAUAGCUAGAGUACGGUAGAGGGGGAUGGAAUUCCGCGUGUAGCAGUGAAAUGCGUAGAUAUGCGGAGGAACACCGAUGGCGAAGGCAAUCCCCUGGACCUGUACUGACGCUCAUGCACGAAAGCGUGGGGAGCAAACAGGAUUAGAUACCCUAGUAGUCC